CCUANGGGUGGCUGCAGUCGAGAAUCUUCCGCAAUGGGCGAAAGCCUGACGGAGCGACACCGCGUGCAGGAUGAAGGCCUUCGGGUUGUAAACUGCUGUCACGCUUUAGGAAUGGCCUGAUGUUAACAGCAUCAGGAGUGACCAAGGCGAAAGGAAGCACCGGCUAACUCUGUGCCAGCAGCCGCGGUAAGACAGAGGGUGCAAACGUUGUUCGGAAUUACUGGGCAUAAAGCGCACGUAGGUGGUCCACUAAGUCGAGUGUGAAAGCCCCCGGCUCAACCGGGGAAUAGCGCUCGAUACUGGUGGGCUAGAGGUCGGUAGGGGUGAGCGGAACGCCAGGUGGAGCGGUGAAAUGCGUAGAUAUCUGGAGGAACACCGGUGGCGAAAGCGGCUCACUGGAUCGAAUCUGACACUGAGGUGCGAAAGCUAGGGUAGCAAACGGGAUUAGAUACCCCGNUANUC
rnacentral:rRNA from 1 species